AGAUUGAACGCUGGCGGCAUGCCUUACACAUGCAAGUCGAACGGCAGCACGGGAGCAAUCCUGGUGGCGAGUGGCGAACGGGUGAGUAAUACAUCGGAACGUGCCCAAUCGUGGGGGAUAACGCAGCGAAAGCUGUGCUAAUACCGCAUAAGAUCUACGGAUGAAAGCAGGGGAUCGCAAGACCUUGCGCGAAUGGAGCGGCCGAUGGCAGAUUAGGUAGUUGGUGAGGUAAAGGCUCACCAAGCCUUCGAUCUGUAGCUGGUCUGAGAGGACGGACCAGCCACACUGGGACUGAGACACGGCCCAGACU
rnacentral:rRNA from 1 species